UCAACAUUUUCAAGCAUUGAAAAAUGCACACAUUGCUUGGACCUUUUGUUGCCCUCAGGUGGAAUGGUGUGAAAUGUAAAGAUUGUUCUUCUAUAUGGCACAAGAUCUGCUAUAAAAAGAUUCAGAGGACUGAUUUUUCACCAUCUUCAUGGGUUUCUGAUGAAUCAUCUUCAGCUGAUGAUGUUUCAGACAAAGAAUACAUACCUGACUCUGUCAGUUACUCAGAUAGUUCAGUGGAACUCUCAAUAGAUGAUUCAAAUCAUUUCAAAGGGACUAUUCUUGAUCCUGGAUUCAUUGCAUCUUUACCAGACUGUCAAAAGAGUGAUGGUGCAGAGAAUGACUUGGCUGAAGGUUUUAUUUCUGAAAGUGAAGACCGUGCUAAAAAGGUUGUUCAGAAAAAGAA